rnacentral:rRNA from 1 species
AUUGAACGCUGGCGGCAUGCCUUACACAUGCAAGUCGAACGGCAGCACGGGUGCUUGCACCUGGUGGCGAGUGGCGAACGGGUGAGUAAUACAUCGGAACAUGUCCUGUAGUGGGGGAUAGCCCGGCGAAAGCCGGAUUAAUACCGCAUACGAUCUACGGAUGAAAGCGGGGGACCUUCGGGCCUCGCGCUAUAGGGUUGGCCGAUGGCUGAUUAGCUAGUUGGUGGGGUAAAGGCCUACCAAGGCGACGAUCAGCAGCUGGUCUGAGAGGACGACCAGCCACACUGGGACUGAGACACGGCCCAGACUCCUACGGGAGGCAGCAGUGGGGAAUUUUGGACAAUGGGCGAAAGCCUGAUCCAGCAAUGCCGCGUGUGUGAAGAGGGCCUUCGGGUUGUAAAGCACUUUUGUCCGGAAAGAAAUCCUUGGCCCUAAUACGGUCGGGGGAUGACGGUACCGGAAGAAUAAGCACCGGCUAACUACGUG